CAGAGGUCUCAACCGUUGUUCGGAUUCAUUGGGCGUAAAGGGUGCGUAGGCGGCGGAGUAAGUCAGGUGUGAAAUCUCGGGGCUCAACCCCGAAACUGCACUUGAUACUGCUUCGCUCGAGUACUGGAGAGGAGACUGGAAUUUACGGUGUAGCAGUGAAAUGCGUAGAUAUCGUAAGGAAGACCAGUGGCGAAGGCGAGUCUCUGGACAGUUACUGACGCUGAGGCACGAAAGCCAGGGGAGCAAACGGGAUUAGAUACCCCGGUAGUCCUGGCAGUAAACGGUGCACGUUUGGUGUGGGUGGAUUCGACCCCUUCCGUGCCGGAGCUAACGCGUUAAACGUGCCGCCUGGGAAGUACGGUCGCAAGAUUA
rnacentral:rRNA from 1 species